AACGAACGCUGGCGGCAUGCCUAACACAUGCAAGUCGAACGAAGCCUUCGGGCUUAGUGGCGCACGGGUGCGUAACGCGUGGGAAUCUGCCCUUGGGUUCGGAAUAACAGUUAGAAAUGACUGCUAAUACCGGAUGAUGUCUUCGGACCAAAGAUUUAUCGCCCAAGGAUGAGCCCGCGUAGGAUUAGGUAGUUGGUGGGGUAAUGGCCCACCAAGCCGACGAUCCUUAGCUGGUCUGAGAGGAUGAUCAGCCACACUGGGACUGAGACACGGCCCAGACUCCUACGGGAGGCAGCAGUGGGGAAUAUUGGACAAUGGGCGAAAGCCUGAUCCAGCAAUGCCGCGUGAGUGAUGAAGGCCUUAGGGUUG
rnacentral:rRNA from 1 species